AGUGAACGCUGGCGGUAGGCCUAACACAUGCAAGUCGAACGGCAGCACAGUAAGAGCUUGCUCUUACGGGUGGCGAGUGGCGGACGGGUGAGGAAUACAUCGGAAUCUACUUUUUCGUGGGGGAUAACGUAGGGAAACUUACGCUAAUACCGCAUACGACCUACGGGUGAAAGCAGGGGAUCUUCGGACCUUGCGCGAUUGAAUGAGCCGAUGUCGGAUUAGCUAGUUGGCGGGGUAAAGGCCCACCAAGGCGACGAUCCGUAGCUGGUCUGAGAGGAUGAAAAGCCAGACUGGAACUGAGACACGGUCCAGACUCCUACGGGAGGCAGCAGUGGGGAAUAUUGGACAAUGGGCGCAAGCCUGAUCCAGCCAUACCGCGUGGGUGAAGAAGGCCUUCGGGUUGUAAAGCCCUUUUGUUGGGAAAGAAAAGCAGCAGGUUAAUACCCCGCUGUUCUGACGGUACCCAAAGAAUAAGCACCGGCUAACUUCGUG
rnacentral:rRNA from 1 species